GGAGGGGUAGAGUAGAGGGUGUGAGACUAUGAUAGGAGGGGUAGAAGUAGGGGUGUGAUACUGUAUGAUGGGAGGGAUAGAGUAGGGGGUGUGAGACUAUGAUGGGAGGGAUAGAGUAGAGGGUGUGAUACUGUCUGAUGGGAGAGGUAGAGUAGAGGGUGUGAUACUGUCUGAUGGGAGGGGUAGAGUAGAGGGUGUGAUACUGUCUGAUGGGAGAGGUAGAGUAGAGGGUGUGAUACUGUCUGAUAGGAGGGGUAGAGUAGAGGGUGUGAUACUGUCUGAUGGGAGGGGUAGAGUAGGGGGUGUGAGACUGUAUGAUAGGAGGGGUAGAGUAGAGGGUGUGAGACUAUGAUGGGAGGGGUAGAGUAGGGGGUGUGAUACUGUAUGAUGGGAGGGGUAGAGUAGGGGGGGUGUGAUACUGUAUGAUGGGAGGGGUAGAGUAGGGGGUGUGAUACUGUCUGAUGGGAGGGGGAGAAUAGAGGGUGUGAUACUGUAUGAUAGGAGGGGUAGAGUAGAGGGUGUGAGACUAUGAUAGGAGGGGUAGAGUAGAGGGUGUGAUACUGUCUGAUGGGAGGGGU
ensembl:lncRNA